GAUGAACGCUGGCGGCGUGCCUAAUACAUGCAAGUCGAGCGAACAGACGAGGAGCUUGCUCCUCUGACGUUAGCGGCGGACGGGUGAGUAACACGUGGAUAACCUACCUAUAAGACUGGGAUAACUUCGGGAAACCGGAGCUAAUACCGGAUAAUAUAUUGAACCGCAUGGUUCAAUAGUGAAAGACGGUUUUGCUGUCACUUAUAGAUGGAUCCGCGCCGCAUUAGCUAGUUGGUAAGGUAACGGCUUACCAAGGCAACGAUGCGUAGCCGACCUGAGAGGGUGGUCGGCCACCCUGGAACUGCGACACGGUCCAGACUCCUACGGGAGGCAGCAGUAGGGAAUCUUCCGCAAUGGGCGAAAGCCUGACGGAGCAACGCCGCGUGAGUGAUGAAGGUCUUCGGAUCGUAAAACUCUGUUAUUAGGGAAGAACAAAUGUGUAAGUAACUAUGCACGUCUUGACGGUACCUAAUCAGAAAGCCACGGCUAACUACGUG
rnacentral:rRNA from 1 species